UACGUAGGGUGCAAGCGUUGUCCGGAAUUAUUGGGCGUAAAGAGCUCGUAGGCGGUUCGUCGCGUCGGCUGUGAAAACCCGGAGCUCAACUCCGGGCCUGCAGUCGAUACGGGCGGACUUGAGUGUUGCAGGGGAGACUGGAAUUCCUGGUGUAGCGGUGAAAUGCGCAGAUAUCAGGAAGAACACCAAUGGCGAAGGCAGCUCUCUGGGACGGUACUGACGCUGAGACGCGAAAGCGUGGGGAGCGAACAGG
rnacentral:rRNA from 1 species